GACGAACGCUGGCGGCGUGCCUAAUACAUGCAAGUAGAACGCUGAAGGAGGAGCUUGCUUCUCUGGAUGAGUUGCGAACGGGUGAGUAACGCGUAGGUAACCUGCCUGGUAGCGGGGGAUAACUAAUGGAAACGAUAGCUAAUACCGCAUAAUAGCAGUUGUUGCAUGACAACUGUUUGAAAGGUGCAAUUGCACCACUACCAGAUGGACCUGCGUUGUAUUAGCUAGUUGGUGGGGUAACGGCUCACCAAGGCGACGAUACAUAGCCGACCUGAGAGGGGGGUCGGCCACACUGGGACUGAGACACGGCCCAGACUCCUACGGGAGGCAGCAGUAGGGAAUCUUCGGCAAUGGACGGAAGUCUGACCGAGCAACGCCGCGUGAGUGAAGAAGGUUUUCGGAUCGUAAAGCUCUGUUGUAAGAGAAGAACGAGUGUGAGAGUGGAAAGUUCACACUGUGACGGUAUCUUACCAGAAAGGGACGGCUAACUACGUG
rnacentral:rRNA from 1 species